UAGGCAUGAUGAUGAUUCUUUUGAUUUUUUUCAUAUGAUUAGCCAUGUGAUGAAAUAUAAUCCUCCUACUCAUUCUGA
rfam:Lupinus angustifolius cultivar Tanjil contig_38406, whole genome shotgun sequence.